UACUUCGCUCCUUCCCUUCCCUUCUUCUCCCGUUCUUCCCCACUAUCUUUGCUAACUCGAUCUAGCCACCGGAGGCAUAACUAACCACCUUCGCUAUCACAUCCUCCGGACACACUUCUUGAGCACCAAAAAUUGGCGUUGAGGGUUUUUGAUAGAUGAUGAGAAUUAGGGGGUUUGUACAGGGAAAUCAAAAAUCAAAUUAGGGAAUUUUAGUCAUCGAUUUUAGCAAUUGACCUUUGACUUAAGUUCUCUCGGGAUUUAAUUUUGGCUCUUCCUCUUCUUCCUUUUCACCUCCAACGUGAAGUUCAUCCUUUUUCACAAUCCUGAAUAUCGGUUUUGCAUUUUUAAUUCUUGUUUUGCUUGGUGAAUUGCUACCUUAUUUCAACCUACUUUUAGUUUUCAACUUACUCAAGAGAAGAGCGACAAUGACUACGAACAAGGUUGAAAGCGAAGUAUAUGAAUACGGAAAGCAGAAUACAUCUGGGUCAGUGAGAUCUACAAUUGGAAAUGUGGAGUGUCCUGAGUUAGCUGAUGGGGGUGGUCCAGAAGAUUCAGAAAAUGUGAUUUCUUACUAGGGUAAUGUGCAUCUCGGAGAAGCAGCAACAAGAAAAAAAAAAAAAAAACUCAUCCAAGAGGUGUUAAGGAGUCACACACUUUCUGCAACCAUUGUGGUGACACCAUGGGCUUGGAGUGGACCAACUACUUCAACUAAGCACACCAAUUUUUCCAUCAGUGUUUCAGUAAACUGUCUUUUAAUUCUGGUAAAUUGCUUGGACCUGUCUUGUUGUUUGCAGAGUGCUCUCCUAGUAUGACAGCAUUCUGCAAACCCUUUGCUAACAGCCCCCUCCGUUGUAUUCUUAGAUGCAUAACUUUUCACUUGUUUGAUCCCACUUACGCGCCCUGGGUCUCACCUGAGAUCUGCAAUACAAAUGAAAUUUAUUUAUGUGUAUUGAGCCAAUUCCAUAUUUUAUAUUUAUCUGUAUUUAGUUUUAGUUAAAUUUUUUGAUAAGUUUGUGAUUUUCUGGAUAUGCAGUUUUCGUCUUCUACUGGGUAUUUUUAGAAGUGAAUAGUAUAGACUAGUCUUCUUUAUAUGUUUUCAAUACUCUAGGGCCUUAGAAUUCCAUAACUAUUUUAUGCCUUUAGUAUUGGAUAAACAGUCUGGAAAGACUAUUCAUUGAAAGUGUGCAGGGACAAUGCAAGGACCCAAACUCAUGCAUAGAAGAAACGGAACUACUGUGAUGUUAACAAGUUUCCAUUAAAGCAAUGAAACAAACUUUGUAUUGAGUGGCUUUGGUUUCCAUGGCUAGUAAGGGUAUGGAACGAGAACUCUUAGGUCAUUGGAUUAUAGAUGUGGAAUACAUGAGAGGAAGUUCAAGUACUAUGAUGAAGAAACCCUGGAAGUAUGAAGCUGGAAGUAUGAAGAGAAUGGAUAAACCAUGUUCAAGCGUUGGUGACUUAAUGUUAUUGGUGUCUUCGCCCAGAUAUGAUGUCAAUCAUUUUUUUUAAAGUAUGCGAAGUGUUUCCAGUUAACUAAAUCAAUUUAAACAAUAAAUAGUCUUUCAAUUUCUAGUUCUGUAAUACUUAACUAAAUCAAUUUAAACAAUAAAUACUCUUUCAAUAA